rnacentral:rRNA from 1 species
GUGAGGAAUAUUGCGCAAUGGAGGCAACUCUGACGCAGCCAUGCCGCGUGCAGGAAGAAGGCGCUACGCGUUGUAAACUGCUUUUAACCGGGAAGAAACCCCAAGACGUGUCCUGGGUUGACGGUACCGGAGGAAUAAGCACCGGCUAACUUCGUGCCAGCAGCCGCGGUAAUACGAAGGGUGCAAGCGUUAUCCGGAUUCAUUGGGUUUAAAGGGUGCGUAGGCGGAGCGUUAAGUCAGUGGUGAAAUCCUGCAGCUUAACUGUAGACUUGCCAUUGAUACUGGCGCGCUUGAGUGCGCUUGAAGUGGGCGGAAUGUGCCGUGUAGCGGUGAUAUGCUUAGAUAUGGCACAGAACACCAAUUGCGAAGGCAGCUCACUAAGGCGAUACUGACGCUGAGGCACGAAAGCGUGGGGAUCGAACAGGAUUAGAAACCCUAGUAGUCC